rnacentral:lncRNA from 1 species
GGACCAGACUUCAGCCUCCAUCCUCUGUCGAAGGCCCCAACAACGUGCAACUUACCAGACUUGGUGGUUCUCCAUUCUUCCUGACUUCAGCCUGGAUCUCCAUGAAGGUCUUCCCCUCCAUUCUGAGCUACACCGGGAUCCUCACACAACCCAGACAGCAAGCUCUGCUGCAUCCAGUGCCAGGCCAGACCACUGGCCGCAUCUUCUACGAGCCAGAUGCUUUUGAUGAUGUGGACCAAGAAGACCCAGAUGACGACCUAGAUAUUUGACAGACAUAUAGGAGAGGAAGGCUGUGGGCUCAGAACCAUCCUGCUGUUAGCAGACUCUGCCUUUGUUGCUUUGUCUGGAGAGGCUGUGUCUUGUGAGCCAAGGAGAAGCAUCAAGCUGGGGCAGAAAGGGUGGUGAGAGUGUAGUAUAUGCCCAGAGAAUAAGAAAUCCCCUCCUCCCGUGCCCAUUUCUAAUAAAAUAUAUGUGUGUGUUACUC